UCACGUCCAGACUCAAUCAGCGCACCUGCCUCUCUGUUCCCUCGGACCCGGGAACCAGCAGUGGACGCUUCAAGUUUCUAAGUAAACGCCACUUGGCUUCUUCCCCAGCAAAUCGAAUCCGCAGUGAGAUUCAUUCCGCCCCCACGAGGAUGGCCGUAACCUAAGCGACGGACAACAGGCGCCAGCGAGGACGUGGACAGAUCGGCCCCUUGGACACCGCGGGCGGGGACGUAAGACGUGCGGCCACUCUGAAGACAGCUUGGCUGUCCCUCAAGUGGUUAAGCACCGAGUUACAAGACCGAGCUGAGCAAUUCCACUCCCCGACGUGCACCCGAGCGAAACGAAAACAUACGUCCGCGCGAGGCCUGCACGCGAAUGUUCAAAGCAGCUUUACUCUCGAUGGCCCAGGAGCCAAAACUACCCAAAUGUUCCUCAGCCGACGAGUGGAUAACGAAACGUGGUAUAUCCAUACAACAGGCUAACGUCCAGCCGUACAAAGAAAUGAGGCAGCCGUAUAUGUCGCCCUGUGGAUGAGUCUUGAAAACAUUACGCUGAAUGAAAGAAGCCAGACACAGAAGGCCACGUAAUAUAUGAUUCCAUUUCUAGGGAAUGUCCAGAACAGGCAAAAAUCCAUAGAGACGGAACAUAGAUUAGUGGUUGCCAGAGGCUGGGGGCAGACAAGGAUGGGAGGGGGUGGCGGCUGCUAAUGGGGAUGGGGUUUUUUUGCGGGGGCAGCGCACUUUGAAAGCGUGAACUUCAUGAGUGCACGCUCUUAAUGGACCAGCACUACCAGGAAAGGACCUGGAACCUAGGAGGCAUUCAGUAAAUACCCGCUGAACGAGUCAACUGUCUCCAAGGACCGAAAGAACGGAGCCUUUGCCAAGAAAAGAGGCUGAAUUCUCAGGCCCUCCACUUUAGAUCAAAUGGUGCUGCUUUACCAGGGAAAGAAAGUUAGGGACCCCAAGGAGCUGUGGGAGCU